rnacentral:rRNA from 1 species
UACGUGAGGGGGCAAGCGUUGUCCGGAAUCAUUGGCGUAAGCGCGUGUAGGCGGCCCGAUAAGUCCGCUGUGGAAAGUCCAGGGCUCAACCCUGGGAUGCCGGUGGAUACUGUCGGGCUCGAGUCCGGAAGAGGCGAGUGGAAUUCCGUGGUGUAGCGGUGAAAUGACGCAGAUAUCAGGAAGAACACCCGUGGCGAAGGCGGCUCUCUGGAACGCAACUGACGCUGAGACGCGAAAGCGUGGGAGCAAACAGG